UUCUUUCAAAAACUAUAGUUUUAUUGAUAGAAAAAUUAAGAUGACAAUGAAGCGAAGAAUCUACGUUCAUUCUCAUUGAGAUAAUACACUAAGAAGAAUAUAUAUAGCUCCGAUCAAUUCCAAUCAGUGUUAAAAUCAUAGAUUAUACGAGAAAAAACCAUAUUAGAAUGACAUCGUCUGCUGCUUGAAAUUUAAUGCCAAGGUCACCACCAUCGCCACCAGAGAACAAGCUGCAAUCAAUGUGGAAGCAUCCAUCUCCCCGUACUUCUGCUUCUGCAAACUCGUUUCUUCUUCCUGCACAACAUCAGGAUCACAAACACACAGUGUCUGGUCGUCGUAGCUCAGCCAAGCUUCUCUUCACCUUCAGGACAUACGCAUCUUUGUUUCGUCACUGUGCUUCCUCCUCUCCGUGCUUGAGCUGAGGCACAGACAACCUCUGUUCGCUGGAGACGUUCAUGAACCCCACGGCCAUGGCGACGACCACGGCCAUGCUCGCAGUCAAGGGAACACUUCACACGGCGCUUCUCGCAUCCGCCGCAGCGCAGAGCAGCACAAAGCCAAAACGAGAGCAGGGCCUCUUUUGGCUUCUCCCUCCCGGUAUGCCCAAUCCGGUCCAGUCAACCAAACCCAGGCAAGCCAGCCGAACCGGUUCCACGGAAGGACCGACCAAGGUGGGUCCC
rnacentral:lncRNA from 1 species